rnacentral:rRNA from 1 species
AACGAACGUUAGCGGCGCGCUUAACACAUGCAAGUCGCACGAGAAAGGGCUUCGGCCCCGGUAAAGUGGCGCACGGGUGAGUAACACGUGGGUAAUCUUCCCUCGAGCGGGGGAUAACAU